UUGAGAAAUAUGGAUAUACUAUAGAGAUAACAACCAGAAAACUCACAGAAGAAAUGUUUAUAAAUACUUAUAAGUGUUUGCCUUUGGAGCCUGAAACUGCUGGAAGAUUGAAAUUGAAAUUAAUACCUAAAUGUAGAAGCAUGAUGAACUGCCUGUCGGUGAGGAGCUCUGAAACAACAGUCACAUUCAAGUCUGAUAUUACAAAGGACUGUCCCAAGUGUGAAAUUAGUAUGUGAUGUAAAAAGUGGAUACCCCAUGAAGACUGGGGAUUAUGAAAAUGUGACCUGGGAAAUCCUGUCUACUAAGAUACUGCUUUAAGAUAUUAGCCUCUUAAUUCAAACU